rnacentral:rRNA from 1 species
UACAGAGGGGGCAAGCGUUGUUCGGAAUUACUGGGCGUAAAGGGCGCGUAGGCGGCCUUCUAAGUCGAACGUGAAAUCCCUCGGCUCAACCGAGGAACUGCGUCCGAUACUGGCGGGCUCGAAUCCGGGAGAGGGAUGUGGAAUUCCAGGUGUAGCGGUGAAAUUCGUAGAUAUCGAGAGGAACACCGGUGGCGAAGGCGGCCAACUGGACAGAUACUGACGCUGAGACUCGAAAGCGUGGGGAGCAAACAGG